UCCACAGCCGCCUCCUUCUCCCUUUCCCCAGCUCCCUGCUCCCUGCCCGCGGCUCGGGGAAGGGGAUGUUUGUCAGACAGGCGGCGGGACGGACACAGCGUGUUAGCAGAGGGGGUGGUGCGUCGGACCGGGAGGGCGGAGGUGACAAAGCGGGGACUCUGGCCGUGUCCUGAGGAGCCUGCUCCUGCCUUCCCGCAAGGAUCCGUGCCAGGUCCCCUCGGCCACCUGCUGCUGGUAAGGGGCUCCCUGGAGGUCGCCGAGGUCGCCAAGAGAACACGUGUAUCUAGUCUAUGUCAUACUGCUUAUGCCGCAGAUCCUAUUGAGGAAAACUGACAUAGUACCAUAAAUUUUUUCUCCUGCACAGAUAAAGAGCAGGUCGUAUUGUAGCACAGCUGGAACAGGGGUAGUUCCCAGGUUAAACUGCGCUCCUACAGAGGACGAGGUGAAGCACAAGAUCUGCCCACUCUGCAUCUGUGCUGCCUUGGUAAACACAGGCAUGCAAAGAGGUUUUCAUUGCAGACCCUGUGGUUCACGAGGAACAGCAGCAAUAGAUUGUGGUUUCUCUGGCAGAUGAAGAGGCUCAGUUUAGUAAUAGCAAGCCAUGUAAAGCUGCCUUUGUAUUUUCCUGGUUGCACCAUCAAGACUCUUUUCCCACCCCCAAGCCUUUAGCCCAGAUAUGAAUAUUACAUAGUGGUCACAACUGAACAAUUCUCUGCUCCUGAGAAGCUUUUUUUUUAAAUCUUCUAUGCACCCAUGAAAGGCAAGUGACCCAUUAAAAUCUCACAGUGCUGUCGUUAAUAUCUAAGAAAAGUAAUUAUUCUGUACUCCUGGAGUGACCAAGUAGUAAUU